rnacentral:lncRNA from 1 species
UCAUGGAUGAGGGUGUGCUACUACCCUUGCUGUUUCCGCCGCCGCUGCCGGCCGACGACGACGCCACCGGCGGCGUGAGCCCAAGCUGGGUGUACCUCGAAGACAGAGCUUACGUCUCCCCCGAUGCAGUCUCCAACUCCACCACCGCCUUCUCCACCACCACCACCGGCGUAAACAUCCAUGUCUCCUUCUGCCUCGCCCGCCCGCCGCGCCUCUCCUACCUCUGCGUCCACUGCCCCCGCCCCGGCGACGGCGAGGGCGCCUACCGGUUCACUGUCGAUCCCCAAGUCCUCGGCACGCACACCGAUGUAGCCCUCCUCCGCGUCCCGCACCCCAACGAUGGGCUCCACCGCGGCAUCAAAUCCUACGACUACUUCGUCUACACGGCCGGCGGCGCCACCUCGCUCCGGCUGCUGCCGAACCCGCGCGUCUCCCCCUUCCGCAACGAGGAGGUCGCCAUCGUCCGCUGCUCCGGCGGCGCCCGCUACGUCAUCGCCUGCCUCAUGCCAACCAUCAGGCGCCCCAUGGAGUUCAAGGUUAUGCGCUUCGACUCCGACGUCGGCCGCUGGAAAUCCACGGCGGUGUCCAUCAGCGAGCCGGUCGAGAGGGACAGGGUGCUCCCCAUCCCUGACACGGCCAGCCAGGUGGUCUUCCACUGCACCACCAAGGUCAUCACGCUCGGCGGCACCAUCGGCUGGGUGGAUCUCUGGAGAGGGAUCCUGCUGUGUGACGACGUGAUUGACCAACACCCGGUGCUCCGCGACCUGCCACUGCCCAAGCCAGCGAGAAGCAACCGCAAAUCCUUCUGCAGAGGGCCGCCGCAUCAUUACCGGGACAUCACCGUCGUCGUGCAGGACUCUGUUCCCACCUGCAUCAAGUACGUCGAGAUGGAGACCCGCCCCGGUGAUCGGCCACCUCCUCGACAACGACAGCCGCCGCAACAUUCUGAUGACUCUGACUCUGAUGAGGAAGAGGACGUUGCUUACUACUGGAAGGCUAACAUAUGGAGCAUGCCGAUACCAGUUGGUUCAUGGGGGGAUUGGCAGAUGGAGUGCACGGUGGAUGUCACCGACAUCGCCGUCGUCGACAAUGUCAGGUUCAGUGAGCUGCUGCCAAAGAUUGGCAAUGAUCCAGAGGAGACAUUGAGGAGGCUGGUCACAGGUUUCCCCACAUUGGGUAUGGAUGGGGAUGUCAUUUCUUUCCUGUCCAAGAUCAAUCGCUUGGAUGAUCAGGGAUGGGUUAUCUCUGUUGAUCUGAGGAGUAAGACGCUGCAAGGCGUGGCUGAGCUUGAUGAGAGGAAGAAUUUCCUCUUCGAGCGCUACUACAACACCAGUGAGAUCUCCAAAUAUCUUAUCAAGGCUACAGGUUUGCUUUAUAACUGUUGCACCAUAAUACUCCGAUAAUCUAAUGGAUAGUUCAUAACCUUCACUUUGACUACUGUUUACAAGUUGUCUGGUUAGAAACUUGAUUCAUAUGAGUGUGUUUAAUUUUCAGGGUGCACUCCUAGGAUUUGUUUUUGAAGUGCCACUUAAACCCUCUCUCUGUAUGUUGUGUGUUUGAUGCAGGUGAGGCAGGAACUCUUGUAAAAACUGGGGUUAAUAGAGUCUCAAGAAAGAAGAAGUAGGAAUUAAUUAAUGAAUCACGUAGGCUAUCUGGGUUGAAGAAAUGAAACGAGCUGCAGAGACUGGGCGAUUAAUGAGCUACUUUAUCAGAGUUGUUCUGUUCAAGACAUGCUACUUUCUGUAAUGGAUUUGGUUUUCGCCUAUCUAUCCUGAGUUAAACUGUAUCUUCCCCUGAUGAUUGGCCGGAAAUGGAUACUCAGGAAUUUUGUUCAGUUAUUAUACUAUAAUAAAAUGUCAAGCUGGCGACCCCAUCGUUAGAGUUCGUGUUUUACCUUUCGUUUUGUAAUGAACUCUCUUGCUUUCCGGCUUUCUUCAAAAGCCAGAUUUCGUUCGAAAUCAGCAAAAAAAUUUCUUCAAAAAAUUUCGUUCGAAAUAUCAGAAUUUGUCUGAAAUUUCGGAAUUUCGGUGCCCACCGAAAUUUUCUUGCUUCUCCGAAGGGAAAACCCUGGCUGGAGGACCAUCCGUCGGCCGGCGAGGAACGGCGGCGGAGCUCCGGCUGCUGUAGGGAGGGAGGCGCCCGCGGGCCGGCGUCGGCGAGGAGGCCCCGCGAUCCGUGGAAAUAGCAUAAUGGCUUCACGCGACGUCAUGGCAAUUACAAUUAGCGAGCGAGAUAGGCCGGAGUUCGGAUCGAACGACGAAAUUCAAUCCAAUCAAGCCCCCUCGUAGCUGAUCUCCGAUCGGAUCGCCGCCUUAUUCCGCCCUGAUCGAACGACUGUUAUUUGAUGUAUUUAUAUCGAUUAAGUUGUUUAUAUAAGUCUGUAUUGGAGUAAUAGCCAAUACAGUAUCUAUUAUUGCUCUAAAUACUGAAUUAUCGGCUAUUUCUAUAAUAUUGUAUAGAAGCGAUUGAUAAAAACAAAAGAGAUACUCCCUCCAUUUCAGGUUAUAAAAUGUUUUGACUUUGAUCAAAGUCAAACUGUUUCAAGUUUGACCAAAUUUGUACUCAACCCAAGACAAAUUUAUUAUUAAAAUAUAUUCAAUUAUUAAUUUAAUAAAACUAAUUUUGACUAUAAAUAUUACUAUAUUUGCAUAGGAAUAAGUUCGCUUGAGAUCCCUUAACUUGGGAAUCUGAUUUUCGUCCUUCAACCAUAAAACCAGAUACAACGGGUCCCUCAAUUAUUAAAACCGAUACAAAGCAGGUCUCUCAGCGGUUUUGAUGGUGGUUUUGGCUGAUGUGACGCCUACGUGGCCGGUUUGACUUGGUCUUUGUCCUACGUGGCGAUGAUGUGGCACUAGAAGCAAAAUUAAAAAUAAAACAAAAAUGUGGGGCCCAUGUGUCAGUUAGACAAAAAGGAAAAACAGUGGGACCCACCCCAUCCUCCCUAUCCACGGACGACGGGAGAGGGCCGACCGGCCGGCGCCUCCUUCUCUCUCCCUCCCGGCCAUCCUUCCUCCCCGGCCGGCGAGCGCGCACGGAGAGGGAAAAAGGCGCCGGCCGGGGAGGAAGGAUGGCCUGGAGGGAGAGAGAGUAGGAGGUGCCGGCCGAUCACCCCUCUCCCGUCGUCCGUGGAUAGAGAGGAUGGUCCACUGUUUUUCCUAUUUAUCUAGCUGACAUGUGGGCCCCAUAUUUUUUUUUAAUUUUUAUAAUUUUUAUAUUUUUACAUUUUGCUUCUAGUGCCACGUCACCGCCACAUAGGACGAGGACCAAGUCGAACCGGCCACGUAGGCGCCACAUCAGUUAAAACCACCAUCAAAACCGCUGAGGGACCUGCUUUGCACCGAUUUUGAUAGUUGAGGGACCCGUUGUAUCUGGCUUUUUGGUUGAAGGACGAAAAUCGGAUUCCUUAACAAGUUAAGGGACCUCAAGUGAACUUAUUCCUAUUUGCAUAUAAAUUUAGUCAAACUUAAAAUAGUUUGACUUUGACCAAAGUCAAAACGUGUUAUAGUCUGAAACGGAGAGAGUAGUAUUGUAGCCGAUAGGACAUACUUCAUCUGUUUCAGGUUAUAAGACUUACUACUCUCCUGGUUUCAUGUUAUAAGACGUUUUGACUUUGGUCAAAGUCAAACUACUUCAAGUUUGACUAAGUUUGUAGAAAAAAUAAUAACAUUUUCAACACAAGACAAAUUUAUUAUGAAAAUAUAUUCAAUUAUUAAUUUAAUGAAACUAAUUUGAUAUUAUAAAAUUACUAUAUUUGUUUAUAAACUUAGUCAAACUUAAAGUAGUUUGACUUUGACCAAAGUCAAAACGUCUUAUAACCUGAAACAGAGGGAUUAUUUAGAGUUUGUCACUUGUUUAUCAUAAAGCCGCAGCCGAUUUGGUUUAACUGCAUCAGCUGGGUCUUGACGGUACGUCACCCAGGGUUAUUGUAAAAAACAUCAUUCUGCUAGUACUGUUUUAUUUCUAGAAGCGCCACUUAUGAUCCAUUCAAUUUUUAAUGUUUGAUGCCGUUUACUGCUGGAUAUAAUUUGACCAUUCGUCUUAUCAAAAUAUUAUGCAAAUAUUAAAAAUGUAAUUCUGCUAAAAGUUCUUUAGGCAUUAAACAAAUAACAAUAAGAUAAAUAAUAAUUACAUAAUUUUAAUAAAACAAAUGAUCAAAACGUACGUCCAAAAGUUAAACGCGUAAAAAAUAAAAACAGAGAGAGUAAUUAUUACUCCAUCAGGAGAGUAAUUAUUUCAAAAAUAAAGUGUUUAUUAGAUAUUUUGACUGCAUUCACAGACUAGUUAAGGGCUUAACUAAAAACUGCACUUUACUAAAUCACAGUGGUGUCUGUCAUGAUAACGUUUUAGAGAGGAUCAAUUAGUUUCCGACCGUUUGAUCUACUCCUAAUCAUGCAGUCGCCAGGCGAUAGCACAAGAUAAAGAGAAAGUACUUAGCGCCUGCAUGCGGCUGGUGCUGCCAAUACCAUGCAUUAUUUGUGGGACUGCAUGGCCUUCCAUAGGUUGGAAGAAAAAUUAGUUUGGUGGGUGAGAGAAAAGGCAGAUUAAGGGCUUGUCCGUUUUAGAGAAAAACAAAGCAUUUGGAUUCAUAAGAUUAAUUUUUAUGAGCGUCAUUCCAUUUGUUGGAUUGAGGUAUAGGAAAAUCAAAGGAAAGUUUCCUUUCCUACAAGUUGUAUAGAGAAAACAUAGGAAUUUUUCCAUCCACUCAAACAUGUUGGAAAAAUUCCUAUGGAUUGAUGUAUGCAAACAUUCCUAUUCUUGCACCUUUUCUAUUCCUAUGGAUUCAAAUUCCUCAAAAUCGAAUAAGCCCUAAAGUGGUGGGGGCCUAAAUUUGAUUAUAUUUAAAAGUUGGAUGAUAGAUUUUUUGGAAAUUUUUGUAUAGUAAUCCAAUAGCUAGUUAUUGUAUAUAUUAGCAAUUCCUACCUUUGAUGUGAACAACUUUGGAGACAACCGCUAGCUCUCUUAUAUAUAUUAAACUUGCUUUAGUUAAGAAUAUAUUGCGAGAGAGAGAGAGAGUAAAGGCACGUUCAAUAGUAAAGACGAGUAUGGUCGCUUAGGCAAUAUAAGAUUAUUUAGAAACCAUGUCUUUACAACAGUGAGAUGAUAAAAGCUCUAAUAUAACCAUUAAUUAAAAAUAAGAUUCUUUUAUUUCCAUUGUUUCCUUUUUUUUUCACCCUCAUACAACUAUGUUUUCAUUGUAUGAAGGCUAAAAGCCGUUGUUAGGCAUGUUCAAAUCAGAGCCCAUAUAUAUAUAAACGCUUAAAUACUACCUUCGUCCUAAAAUAUAAGCAUUUUUAGCUAUGAAUCUGGGCACUAGCUAAAAAUACUUACAUUUUGGGACGGAGGUAGUAUUUAAGGGUUUAGUAACAUAUGUUUACUUAGAUACCAUGUCCUUACAACGGUGAACACAGCAAACACUCUAAACCAUUAAUCUACAAAAUUAUUUUUUAUUACUAUUAUUUCCUUGUUCACAUCUUUAUGCAGCAAAGUUUUCAUUUUAUAGAUGUUCAAAGUCGUCGCUAAAAAGUUGUUAACCAUAGUAAAAAUAAUGUUUGCCUCUCCUUGUUUCUCUCUCUCUCUAUCAUUUAGCAAACAUUUCUAAUUAGUAACGUUAAGAGACUACCAUUGCACAUGCCCUAAGAACAGGUACAAUAGAGUAGGUACAAUAGCAGGCUAUAAGUUAGCCAUAGACUCAUUUUGAGAAGAUAGAAGAUGUGAGAGAAUAGCGGCGGGCUACAGAUUUGUAGCCAGCUACAGUACGGACUUUAAAAUACAUGUGUAGUGUAUGACAGGUGGGACUAAAUAUUAAUUAUGUAGUAUAUGUUUAUAGGUAACUAUUGUAUAAAUUAGCUAUUAAGUUGACUAUAAAUAAUUUGAAGGUAGCAAUUUGCUAUACUAUUAAACUUGCUCUAAUACUAUAGUAUAUCCUUUUCCGUACAUGUAGCAAAAGCUUACUGUUCUAGGAGUAUUAAUUAUUGCUAGCUGAUCAUACCACGUUAGUCGUUAAGCAUGCAUGCAGCUAGGACUUAAGUGGUGCCCCACAAAUAGGGCUGGAAACGAGCCGAGCCAAGCCAGGCUCGGCUCGGCUUGCAAUGGCUCGUAACAAGGUAGGUUUGGCUUGACUCGGCUCGGUUAGGGAAACGAGCUAAAACAUAAACUCAGCUCGGCUUGUUUCCUGGCUCGAGCCAGCUCGAGCUGGCUUGCGAGCCUUCUGUUGAAGCUACAUAAUUUAUAAUCAUUAAGGAAAACAAUAACAAAUUAUCAACAUGUAAAAUUAAAAUAACUUUAUAUAUUCAAUUCAUUAGAAUAUAGAUAAUAAAUUACAUAUUGACAAAUAAUAACUCUAUUGGAAAAUAAAAUCAUCCAUAUAAAUAUAUGAUGGCCUAAGCUCACGAGCCAAAUCAAGCGGCUCGCGAGUUAGCUCGGGCUUGGCUCGUUUCAGGAACGAGCUAAAAAGGAGGCUUGGGCUUGGCUCGUUUGGCAUUCAAGCCGAGCUGAGCUAAGCGAGCUUGAGCCAAGCCCGAGCUGAGCUCACGAGCCCAAGCUUUUUUUCCACCCCUACCCACAAAUAACUAAUUAAUUCCUGCUUUGUGUUUGAAAAGGGAAACCAUACGUGCUUUUGUGCUUUUGUACGCAUGCAAAAAUUAUACCCCUACUUGCAUUAAUUAGCACGGUUAGUUGAUGUUGAUCCUGGUCGUGUAGUAUCUCUGUUUUAAAAAGGGAAACCACUUGCAUUAGCACGGCUUAAUUUGAUGCUACGUACACUUGCAUGCAUGGUUACGAACGUUCUAUAACUGCAUCACGAUGGUGGGGUUUUGAUAGAAGAGUCUACAUAGCCUUUAAUUGUUUGUUCGGCGUUCUAUGAAAUUAGAAAAAAUUCUACGUUGAGAAAAAAAAUGUAGACAUCCACUCGUCUAACGAGAAAUACCCAGGGGUCUUUUGGCUAACUCCAUAAGGUGGUGGGCUAUAUGAUCUGGGUUCAAAGCCUCACCAUUUCUAAUUAUUUGAUAUUAGGUCCUUUCCUAAUAUUCGAGUCUUUUUUUAUCCACUCGUUUAUGGUUCCAUGACAUUAAAAAAAACUAGAUGAAAAUAUAUAGAUAAAUAUAUGUUAAAUAUUAUAGAAAUGGUAUAUCGAUAUAUGUUGAAAUAUGUGAAAAUGAUGUGGUGAUGAUGACUUUGAUACGUUUGCAUGUUAAAAUCUAGAUUAUACACUAAUUUGUAAAUAAUAUUGUAUGUUUGUAUGUGCUUUAAAAUCAGUAAUAAUUGUUGGGUAAUGAUAUAACUUGUGUGCAUGUUCAGCUUUAGAAUAUACUGAGGUUAUAACUAAUAUCGUACCUAGGGAUUGAAGGUCCAACUGCGAAACACAUAAUGAGACUCUAAAAUUAAAUAUUACUCCGUAUUUUAAUGGAUGACGGUGUUGACUUUUUUGACCAAUGUUUGACUAUUCAUUUUAUUUAAAAUUUUUGUGCAAAUAUGAAAAUAUUCAUGUCAUGCUUAAAGAACAUUUGAUGAUGAAUUAAGUCACAAUAAAAUAAAUGACAAUUACAUAACCUUUUUUUAAUAAGACGAAUGGUCAAACGUUAGAAAAAAAUCAACGGUGUCAUAAAUUAAAAUAUAGAGGUAGUAUAAUUUAACCAAAGCAUGCUUUCCCAUAAUUAGAAACGAAUCAUCAAGCACAACCCAUCAAUGGGAUUGGGUAAAUGGGCCUUGUAAUCUUUAUGGUUUGUUUUUUUCUUCUGUUUACUAAGCCUUGUAAUUUGAUGCUAAUUAAGUAUAGAUAAUUACUACGAAUGAUAGACUUGUGGUCCUAAUUUUUUUUGGCCUGAACACCUGCACACCUUGUACUAUACCAGUAUACCGGCCAAUAUAUGACUCCAGUUGUAACUAUGGUAUAGGCUCUACGCUUGGGAGAAAAAAAAAAUAGUAGUGAGAUUGAGUUACAACGCCACCACUUGAAUCGGCAAUAAGAAAUUUUUACCUUCUAUACCUAUUCGAUCGAGGACCGUAAAUUUACUAGUAUUUAUUUAGAGAAAAAAAAGAGUUUAUAUACGUACUAUAUGUUACCAGUACCACACAGCCGAUUAGCUAUUUAAUGUUUUGAGACUGCAUCUUUAGAUCUUUUCAAAUUGAGCCACCUGGCUGUUGUUUUCGGCUGUAUAAAGAAAACGCAAACCCUCUUACUAAUAUUUAUAAAAACAUAGUACAAACGUAGUUGUCUAUAACACACGUAUACUUAUCUCUAUAAAUACACACACGUAUACCCUAUUCCUAUAAGUACCCAUAAAAGAUUAGGUCGGUGCAUCUUUGAUAUUGGUGAAGUUACCACGAACGUGUUGCUGUCGACGGGUAAUCAAGAAAAAGAAAUAAAACAAUAAUAAAAUGUGGUAGAAAUAAUAAAGGGAGUGGUUUGUUUGGACCAACGUACUCACCUGCUUGACAGUGUGUUUAGUUCAGCGUAAAGUUUAGAUUUUAGUUGAAAUUGGAGAUGAUAUGACUGAAAAAUUAUGUGUGUAUGACAGGUUGAUGUGAUGAAAAAGGACUGAAGUUUGGAUCCAAACUGAUCUAAACACAGCCAUAUACUCCUAUAUACACGGUACUCCUAGCUUGUGGUUCAACUUUAGUACUACUAGUAGCUUGUGGUUCAACACGUCUAUCCGAAGUAUAUAAGAACCCACGCCGGCCUCAGUGCGGAUGAGGCCGAGGGGUUUUUUACUUUACCCAUUGCCCUCCCACCUGCUCCCCCUCCUGCCCUCCCACCCUCUUGUGCGCAUUCCGUCGAGCACGUCGCGGGCGCACCUCCCGCCGCUGCCUCGGCUUGCCCCACCGCGGAUCGCAGAGCGAAGCAUCCCCGCUAGGCUACUAAAGAUGCCUCAUCAUGGUGGUAGGAAGAAGAAGAACAAGGGUGGGAAGGGGAAGCCUCGGAAGAAGACCGACGACCGCGGAGAGGCCAAUGUCGGGUCGGGCGACAGCUCGCCCGCCGUCCGCGUCGAGGAGGAGGCGGAGGUGGAGGCGGAGGCGGAGGUGGGGACGGCGGUCGAGCCGCAGCGCUCGGGAACGUUGGCCUCGCCCACUGACGUCGUCGAGGCAGCCCAACACGGCCAGCGGCAGCAGCAGGCCUCCCAGUCCCAACAGACACCAAGCCCUCGAAGUUAUGCAGCUGCAGUGGUGAACAAAAGAGAAGAUGAAACAGUUGGCUACAACUUCCUUCAGUUCCUUCGAAGGUAUCAACUAUUUCUUGGAUUGAUGUAUCCUAGAGAGCAUAAGACUAGCCCAAUGUGAUUUAUAAAAAUUGAAGAUGUGUUUCAUCAGAUCAAGUUCUUAUUACGAACGACAUAGCUGUCCUACUAUGUUUCUUCUUCCGACACAUGUGUGCACAUAAGUGAAGAUCCUACGUAAAAUCCAGUAAUCAUAAUAGGAGUUUUGGGAUGGGCUUAAAGCAGAGAACUGAAUCGGGCUCUCUUUUUUAAAGACUGGUUUGAGAUAUUUUUUGGGCCUUCCAUUGAGAAAAGAAGAUGUAUGCUGGGUGUAUCAUCGCCUCAAUGCUCUUCUGCUAAUUGGCUAUUUAUGUAGUCUGCUCGUCUCCAUGGCUCCAUAUGCAUAUGCAUGUAAAUCCAUUUCUUUUAGGGAAACUACCGUAGGAGAGCAUCCUACACAUGCACAUCCAAUUAAGCUCUCUGAUACAAAUAUGGACAUGUUUAUGAGUACAUGUCAGGAUUGCUCCCUGCAAUAAUGCAAAUAUGUCUAAAUUAAAUCCCAAUGAUUUCAUACAAUAGAAAAUUCAUAAAAUGCCAUCAUAAAUAUAAGUGAGUUGUGAAAUACUAUCGUAUACGAGAAUGAUCAUGUGGGGUCUGGACCCACAUGUUAAUGACAUAUACGAUGAUAUUUUUCAACUUCAUGAUCUUCGUGAUAGUUUUUCAUGAUCAUGUGGGGUCUGCACGGGCACUUUUUCUAGUCAUAUUAUAAUUUUUUUGAAGGAUGUAUAAAUUUGUUUUUUGACAUUAUAGUCUCAUGCAGCUUCACAGUAGAGCACAGAGAAGGGCCUUUCUAUGCUGGGGAACUAAAGAGUAUGGUCUAUCAGAACAGCAAAACUUUUUGUGUCUACUAUGGGCACUUCCAAGGACAAUAUGCAAACCUGGGUACAAAAAUAUCCAACUCAUAUGCGAGGUGCGACUUGCUACUUAUUUACAUUGCCUUUUUCCAAAUGUUAUAUCAGCUGAAAAUAUUGAUGAAUCGCUUUACAAAUUCCUGCCAUUACCUUUCGAAUUUGUUAAUUUAUGGUGACACAAUUAUAUAGAGAGAGCAUGCAUGUGGAAGUCAGAAGCAAAAGUAGUUAAUAGAGAGCAGACUGAAGACAGGAGAAUAUAUGAAUGACUAGAGAGUGUAACUUUCUUUUAAUGUCAACUGAAAGUGUAUGAAUAAUUUCCUAUGCUUCUUAGGAAAUCCAAUUGUGGUCAAAAUGUUCUUACUAAUCUCAGUAACAUGUAUUCUGCCAAAUACUGUGGUUGGAAUUUAUCAGAUUAUUUUGGAUUGUGUAGUUAAGUUUAUACCUCAAAUUUAUGGCGUAUGUUGUAUAGACAGAUCUUUAUCUUUUGCAAAUGUUGUAACUGUGCGUUCAUUCUGAACAGGGUCGUGGGCUUCUUGCGAAGUGCUAUAGGAAGAUUCAUCACCGAAUAUGAACUUGAUGAUCAAUGGAGAGAAAUAUCAAAUGACCCCCCAAAGAUUCAUAUUGAUGCCCUGCCCCCAGCUGGAAGGUUUGCUCUCUACAUGAGAUAGAAAAGAGAAAAGGAAGUCUUAUGCGCCUUGUCUUUUGAGUAAAGACUAACUGUGUCAUUUUAAUGCAGCAUUGUUUCACUUCAAUAUUUCCUGGGACAAGCACAUAACAAACUUGUGGAGACUGCACGCAUCUAUGAUCCCAAUGGUAGCUUAGUCGCUGAUAGUACUAAGCUGGGAAGGAGAGUGUUCCUAGGGUUCCUCAUAUAUAUCAUCAAUCAGCAUAAAGAUGGACGCAGUUGGUGUGGUGAAUUUUCUAUUGAUGAUCUACUAGUCAGAAAUGAAUCAACAUUUGGAAUCACGAAGGCAGCUUCUUCCCAUGCAAGUUGUAAAGCAAUGGCUAAGGAUCUGAAACAGUUGGCAAAGAUACUAGAGAAACACUUUCGCACAGCUCAAGGGCAGGUCCCUGGCUACUUCAUUAAGCUUUUUUCUGAACUAAAAGAGAGCGCAGGAGAGCUCGGGCAGUACAACUCAGAGAAAACCAGGAAGUUCCAUAAGUAUCUGAGUUCGCAUCUUGCACUCAGGUCUGCGAUGUCAAGGAGGCACCUGUUUAUGGAUUUGUUCCGAGCGUACCAGCUACUUGGGAAAACUGCAAAGAAGGAUUUGAUAUCCCUUCUAGGAUCCAUGUUUCCAGAAGAUAAAUGGCUUGACCAAGUAGACAAGCACCAAAUGUUUAUAAAAGUAUCUGAGUAUGGCAUCGUGGAAGGUGACGCAGAUAAGGCAUCCAACAGUCAAGAUCAGAAGAAGAAAAGAUCAUACAGUGGCGAUCUUUUAGAUUUGCUGGUGUUUAUCCGCCACGUUACUGAGCACGGGGCGGAUCACACGAAAGUACGGGCAUAUGAAAUCUUAAUUUUCUCUUUCAUUUCAUAUAUGUGCAAGUUCAAUUUCCUGACAAGUGUUCAAAACUUUGUCUUUAAGGAUGAUAACAUGGAGCAAAAACUCAAGAGUUUGGUUGAAAUUGACUUGAUAAUUGCUAAGUAUCUUUCGGCUGCUGUUGUAGACCUUAUCAAGGCUUUGGUGAAGAGUGACUUGCUAAAAGACACGUACUUUUUCUUCUCUUGUAUGUUUAUUUGUUUUCUCUUGAAAUAUAUUUGUUGAAAUGAUUAUUUUCCAUAUUGCAGGUUUUCUGACCCGUGGAAUGCGUUUUCUAAUUCUUCCUAAUAGGUAUAUAAAGUUUUACUUAUUUUCCUGCCAUUUGAUCUUCUAGUAAAUUUCAUAGUAUCCAUAUUCUGCAUCUGCGGGUCAACUUUCUUAUUACUACUAUAACAAAGUAGUUGCAUAAUGAUUACUGUCACCGACAAUACCUUGACCCGCACUAUAUAUGAAAAUCCGCUGCAUUUCGUGAAUAGUGGCUAGCACUAAUAACAAUAUCCUGUGAGUCCACUACUUACAUAUUACACACUAUUUACUGUCCCAGGGCCCAUAGGUUUUUUUUUUUUUUGCCAGGUCGGCCAAAAGAUUCGGUCGACCAAUUUCAUUAAGGAAAAGGAUUUUGGAAAACAUUACAAAGAAGCUUACAACGACAGUACGCUGUCGAGAUGGAGAAGGGCUAGGCCCUCAUCCCGUAAGCUGGAGAGGAAAAAAAAAGUACAAUGCCCUAAGGCAAACUCUAAUCAGAGAUGAUCGUUAUUACAUGGUUGGAUAACUCCUGCGGUCUUCCACACUAGGAUUUCCUCCUUGAUAUCCUCCACUAGUUGCUCAGGGGUGCGCACUUUCUGCUCGAAGAUCCUAACAUUACGCUCUUUCCACAGAGACCAGCAGAUUAGGGCGACAACACUGUCAAAGAUGUCCCUGUAGCCGGUCCGAAAAAACCUCCUUGCGUUCGUCCACCAAUCUGUUAGGUUUUCUUCUUCAUGUCCAGACACGGGGAAGCUGAUUCCAAUCCAUUUUUUCAUCAGUAGCCAGACUCUCUGGGUGUAAUCACAAGUGAGCAACAGAUGUGAGCAGCUUUCAUCUUCACGCUGACAUAGCACACAAUGUUCCUCGUGCGGCCAUCCCUUCUUUUCAAGAUUGUCGGCUGUUGAACAGUGACCCUUUGCAGCCAGCCACAAGAAAAAUCUUACUUUGGAAGGUGUCUUGGUGGUCCAGAUCAGCUCACUGGAGACACAGAGCUCCCUGGCCAUGAAGAACAGCUCAUAUGCUGAAGAAACAGAUAACCUCCCGUCAGGUGUUGGCCCAUGGGGUGUAAUACUCCGUUGAUGAACUUUCUUCUUAGCCUCUGUGACAGACCAUUUUCAACCUGAAAGGAAGCAACGAAUCAUGCGUGCACUAUUAACAAUUUCUUCACAGCAUUAUUCCUGCAACCACUUUGCUUCAAACCUGAAGCCACUGUUGCCCCCUUGACAUCACAGAAAUCUUGUAACUCCAAUUAGUAUGGUCACAGGUUUAUGAUCUGAGUAUCUUGGAUCUCGUAGUAUCACCUUAUAUGACGGGAACCUUGUCACCAAUUUUGGGACCCAACAGCCCUAUCAAGUCUGUCUUUUACAUAUUUGUUGGCCUCAUGGCUGUUGUUUCCUCCAGGUCUGUACUUGUCUCCUAAAUAACCAAGAUCAUGAACCUUGUUGAAGUGUUUGGCACAAAGCCAUGGAAGUUGCUGAUGUUGAUUUUCAAGAGCUUCCAAGUCUUACUCUCUCUUAUCUGUCUCUGGUUCCCAUAAGAGCAUGUGAACCAUCCUGCUCCACCAUCACCACAUUAAUAUGAUAUCUGGAAUAAUUGUGAACUCAAUGUUUACAUGUUUCUUCCACAAUAGAGCAAGCCCACCACUUCUUCCACAAUAGAGCAAGCCCACCACUUCAAUAUUUGACAUUCCCAGCAAGUACUUGAACCAACUCGUCCUCUUCUCAUCUAUUUUAGUUUAGUAUCUGGUAAUAUAAAAUGUUGAGGUCCUCUUGCUUCUGGAGGUCCAGAAGCCCUCAACUGCCAGGACAUUCCCCAAUUCCCAGCAGUUCCAAGCUGUUAAUCCUCGUUUUGGCUUGCUGGCCUGUCACUGCAGCCCAGACUUUACAAUUUCUAAAGUGGUGUUUUCUUCCUUUUUCAUCCUCCCCAUCAUCUCUUGCUUUCUUUAACAACCCUGUCUCUACCUCAACCUCCAUCAAGUCAGCAUUCCUCUUACUCCUUUGUUUGCCCUCUCCCCUUGCUAUACGCUUCAAAGUACCUUGCCUUGUGCCUGUUGCUGUCUUUUGAUCACCGCUUUCUACUCUUCUCUGAUCCCCCACUUUCUCAUCAAGCUUAUCACUGGUUUGUCUUGCGCUUGAUCACUCUCCUUUUUAGUUGUUGUUGUUGUUGUUAUAAUAUUGUUCUUCUUCUUCUUGUUGUUCUUGUGGAGAAGAGACAACACGCUAAUUUGGAUCUAUAACCUACUAAUAUUAGGCUUUGGAAAUCUGUGAUAUAUCAUAUAACCGAGCAGACUCGACAUAAAAAAGUUUUCCUCUGGGUCCUAUCUAUGGUUAAUAGUUGCCGACUACAAUUGCCUUGAUUCUUUAAGUGAAACAGUUGGAGAGUACCAUAUGUUUAUCCCAGUUGAAAAAACAGUGGUUAUACCCUUCUUUUUACAAAAAACAGCAGGCGAGACUCCUACACAUAUAGCCACUAAGGAUAAUCAGAAGUUAGGGAGUGAAAUCGGCCUGAAUCUUUUGGACUACCUUAUGCCUGUACUUAGUUAAAACUUUUCACUCCUGAAUAAUAAAUUGUGUUAUGUGUCUAGAUGUGUAUUACAAAUGCAUUUACAUAUGUGGUUUAUGCUUAUCUCUUAUUGUACUACUCUGUACUAUUAGCACAAAUGUGUAUGUGGAUAGGAAUCGUUUAAAUUGUUUACUUUACAUGUUCUGGUUUGCUGAAUCUAUCCGUGCUGAAAAGCCUUCAUUAAAUUAGUUGUUGUUUUUUCUUUUUUUUAAAAAAAAAAAUUCUACGAUGUGCCAUGGUCUGUGCCUCCAUGCCAAAGGCGGGGGGUGGGGUUAUCAUCUGUGGGGUUACUUGGUAGUUUAUAUUAAAAAGAAGAGUAAACUAAAAAGAAUUAGUGGCAAGGAUCAAUUCUGAUAAAAUUUUUAAGGUUUAUAAUCCUAGCAACUGAUGCCAUCAGUUGUGAAUAUGAAUAGCUCCAGCUUCCAGUUAUAAUUUCAACCAUAUAUAUUAUUGAACCCUGUUUCUUAACACCAUCAUCCCAAAAACAGAAACAAACAGCAAUGCAACUACAAAAGCUUCAUCUAUAUGAAAUCCCAAUUCACAUCCAACAUGUGAAACCUACACUGAUACAAUGUUAUCAUAUCUAUGAAACAAACAUUUGUAUGACUAGCUCACCCUUCAGAUAUCUAACAAAAUAAAGCGCACCAACAUGCGAAUAAUUUGUUUGAAUGCCAUUGCCAAACCUACGUAAACCUUGUACUCUUGAAUUUUGCUUUCCAUAGACACUGAGUUCAAAAACCGAUGAUCCAUUUCCUUCCUAUGACUUUUUAGUUUAUACUCGUGAACUUUGCUGGCAAGCCCAAAGCUUUAUGUGUUGUAUCAUAAUAGGGAUAAUAUUUUUAAAAAAAUACAAAGAAGAUUACAAGAUCAGAAUUGACAAAAAAUAGUGGUUAUAUCAUUGGCAAUAUGGGAGUGGGGAACAUCGAUCGUAUUUAGCAUCAAAGACUUAAAUCACCAGCCCCAACCAAUUCCUGCUUGCCCUUGGUGUGGAAGAAGUAAUCCUUUUAUAUCUGUUGAUGCAGGUGGGUUAGCACGCUUGUUGGAGAAGAGAGGCACCACUGCAUAUCUUGUAUUCAAAGUGCCGUCAAGGACUUGAGAGUGCCUCGUUCAGUAAUCAUAGUUAGCUGAAGUCUGUGGUGUAGGUGUUUAGCUUCCAAACUUGGUUAGAAUUUUGAGUUUCCUGCUUACUGGCGUAGUAUGCUUCAUAUUUUUUUCCUUUUUCUUGUUUUGAGGUUGGGCCAGGUGAGGUACCCCCCGCUCUCCAGUAAGGACCCCUGACUGUUAGUUCUAUGCCAGGAGAGUAGUUUUGGUGUGAUGUGUUGGGACUUGGGAGUUGUUCAGUCUUUUUGAGCUUAACCUGUAAAGUUGGUACCCGGCGUGCGUAUGGAUCGGAGCUGGUGAACAGAGAAGGAAGACGCGCACAUUGGGGAUGAUUUUGGAGCGUGUUGACUGUUGAGGACUGGUAGGUUGCUAGGGAAAUCAGCAUAACCUGGAUUACAGCCCUUGUUUGGGGGGUUUGUUCUCUGUCGGUUGGUCUGCAAUGUUUAUUUUAAUCCCCUUUCUUAUUGUUGGCUAUUUCUUGUCAUGCUACCCUCAUGGAAAUAUCGAUCUUUUACAUUAGCAUAUAAAAUAUUAAUUAUUGGACCAUAAAUAAUGCUUAAAGAUAUAAUUCCAUAGCAAUUUAAAUCAAUGGAAUAUAGAAUACUUUGGUAAGAUGGCCAAAAUUGCCAAAAUUCUAUGGGGUCUCUAGCCAAACAAAGGAGGCUGGAGGAAUGUAUCACGAUAGAUGUGAAAGUGGUCUUAUAUAGAUUGCCUGUGAAUUGUAAUACAAAAUUAAUCAGUUGGGAUGGACCGGGAUAAUUAUUUCAUACUUUAUAUAGGCAUGUGCAUGUCUCAAAGUUUGCUAAUUUUGUUUGUUGUACUAAUUGAUAAGGCUGGUGUAUGCUUUUCUAGGAGUAUCAAGUUAGUAAUAGUGAAAAAUUCUUUUAGAAGUGGUAGAAGAGUUACCUGGUUUUUUUAACCUUAAUAGUUGCCUGAUUUUAGCUCAACAUCCAUAGCAUAAGGAGCCCAUUGGCUAAACAAUCUCAACGCACAGUUUGAGAGAUGAUCAUAACAAAAUCUGAUAGUAAGAGAUUGAUGUUACCAGCUGAUAGUCUGUCAAACAAUUUAGAGGAUUGGUGUUAUUCAUCUUUUUUCUGGAACAAACAAUACCACAUGUAAUCCAAAGGAAAAGAUACAUACAGAAUAAAGCUAAUGUAACAUCUACAUGCUAGCAAAAGUCCACAAAAGAGAGAGAGCUAUAGAGGUGUGGAGCUGAUAGUAAAAAUCAAAACAUAUACAAAUUCAGCUAGGAAAAGUGUGAAACUGUACGGUAGCUAGGUAAGCAACCAGCAGUAGCUAUCCGCGAGAAAGUACUUGGAUGAAGUAGUAAAAUAAUUGAUUGUACAUCAACAAAUCUAACAUUUACUCAGAUGAAAUUUCACAUGCUGCGCUCGGAAACUGGAUGCUAAGUGCUAACAUGUGAGCAAGAACCAAAGAGGGAGAAAAAGAUGAUAUUGCAGUUACAUUACGCUUGAUAACUCGAUUUACCUUGGCUGCGUAUAUCUAUUUAGAUGUAGAAUUCAGGUAUUACCCAUUAGUUUUAAAAAAGAAAGCCCGCGGCCACUCACAUUUGUGGUCCAAUCGAUUGAUAAAGAGCACUCCACAUUAGGGUUGAUGAUGGAGAAUUACAAUGUAAUUAAAGAGGAUAACGGAGAGAGGGAUUAAUCACCGCAAUUGAUAUUUCAUUAAUAACUAGUUGGGUGGCCUUGCGCGGCUAGCACCCAUACAAAAUUAUUUAUUUUUUAAUGUGAUUUUGCUUAAAAUUUGUUAAAUAUCUAUCUCGUUGUCUUAGGAUUUUGAGAGACCGAACUUUAUCAUCCGCGCGUUUCUAAUUUUAUAGGUUUUAAAAGUCACUUCGGUCGCUACCCCUUACUCAUUUCUCAGGUCUUUAUUUACUUGUCGAUCUAUCACUUUUUUAUUCAUAUCUUCCAUGAAACCUUUAAAAAUUAGAUCUUUUAGUUUUUAGAGUUCAUUGUCUUUGAAUUUUGUUUUUAUAAUUUUUUUAAAGUUACGUCAAACACCGCCAUUAUACUCCUCUAUGGCCCCUCCGCUGCCUCCUCUAUUUAUUAUCAUUGGGAUUUUAAAAAUCAAACAUAAUUAUUGUUUGUGUUUAUUUAUUUUUUUACUUUCUGGAAGUCCCGCUAAACCGUCAGUGGCUUUAUCAUUGUACUCCUCUGCGCGUGACCCGCCCGUUGCCUCCCCUCUUUAUUGUCAUUGAGUAUUUAAAAAUUGAGCAUGAUUAUUAUUGGGAUUUAUUUUUCUACUUUCUAGAAUCCCGCCAACUGCCAUGAUCAUGUUGCUUAAUGGUUUGUUCGUUGUCGCAUCUCUUAAUCGUCAUUGGGAUUCUAUUUGGAGUUUUCUUUAUAUGUUUAUAGUUUUUACAUGUCCCACCAACUGCCACCACUUUACUCCUAUGCAGGCUUAUUGUUUUUCGCCCUCUUCAUUGUCGAUAUUGCUGUCUGAACUAUUCUUUUCGAAAAAUCCAUAUUUUUCAUUUUUAUAAUUUUUUAUUUGUAAAUUGUAUUCAUACUUGAACUCUUAUAAUUAUUUUUCUAUUUUUGAAAUUUAUUUUAUUUGUUAUUUUGAAUUUUAGUUAAUCUCAUCACAUGUUCUAUAUGGUCUAUUAUUUUAAUAUUUUUAUUUUUAUUGCGAAUUUUAAUUAUUUAUAAAUUGUAUUUCUAGUUGAACUCUUUUUUUAUUUUUAUAAUUCCUGAAUUUAUUUUAUUUUUUAUUUCGAAUUCUAAUUAAUCUCGUGCUAUGUUAUUGAUUGAUUAAUUGUUGUUUUAAUAUUUUUUAUGCUGAAUUUUAAUUAUUAAAAAUAUAUAUUCCUACUUGAACUUUUCUUUUCUUUCCUAAUUUCAGAAAUUUAUAUAUUUAGUAUUCCGAAUUUUAAUUAAUUAUGUAUUUGGUUCUUAUAUGAACUCCUCUAUCAAUAUUGCUUAUUUUAAAUUCCGAAUUAGUUAUUUCAAAAUUGUAUUCCUACUUAAACUCUUAUUUUCUUUUUUAAUUUCAAUUUUUUUAUUUUUAUUCUGAAUUUUAAUUAAUCACGUAUUGGGUUCUUAUAUGGACUACUCUUUCAAUAUUUCUUCUUUUUAAUUCCGAAUUUGAAUUUUUUUUAGAUUGUAUUUCUAUUUGGACUCUUCUUUUCUUUUUCUUCAAUUAAUGUGUGAAUUUCUAGCCCUCACAGCGUAUAUGGUGCCUUCUUUUUGAGCUGUGUUAAUAAUAUAACUAGCCGGGUGGCCCACGCAAUUGCGCGGCUAGCACCCAAACAAAAUCAUAUUUUUUUCAGUAUGAUUUUACUUAAAAUUUACUAAAUAGCUAUCUCGUUGUCUUAAGAAUUUGAAAGACCAAACAUUAUGAUCCCCGUAUUUCUAAUUAUAUAGUUUUUAAAAGUCACACCCAGCUGCUAUCCCUUACUUCUAUCAUAUCAUUCUUUAUUUGAUUGCUUGAUCUACCACUAUUUCUAUUCAUUCUCCUUUAAACCUUUAAAAAUUAGAUCAACCGCCACCACUCUACUCCUGUAUAGGCAUGUUACUUAUUUUAUCUCGUCAUGUGUUUUAGAUGGUCUUUUCUUUCAAUAGUCUUUAUUUUUUAUCACAAAUUUUAAUUAUUUACAAAUUGUAUUCCUAACUGAAAUCUUUUUUCUUUUUCUAAUUUCAGAAUUUAUUUUUUUCAAAUUUUAAUUAAUACAGUAUAGUGUUCUUUUAAAUUUAUUUUUUAUUUUUGAAUUUCAGUUGUUUCAAAAUUACAUCUCUACUUAAACUCUCUUUGAUUUUUCUAAUUUUGGAUAUUUUUUUAUUUUUUUAAUUCCGAAUUUCAGUUAAUUUUAAAUUGUAUUCCUACUUGAACUCUUCUUAUCUUUUUGCUAGUUUCGGAUUUUAUUUUUAUUUUUAUUCCGAAUAUUAAUUAAUCUCGUAUCGGGUUCUUAUAUGGACUCUUCUCUCAAUAUUCCUUAUUUUUAAUUCCGAAUUUCAGUAAUUUUUAAAUUGUAAUCCUACUUGGACUCUCCUUUUCUUUUCUAAUUUCGGAUUUUAUUUUAUUUUGUGUCAAACAAAAUCAUAUUUUUUAAGUAUAAUUUUACUUAAAAUUUAUUAAAUAGCUAUCUCAUUGUCUUAAGACUUUGAAAGACCAAACCUUAUCAUCCUCGUGUUUUUAAUUAUAUAGUUUUAAGUCACACCAGUUGCUAUCCUUUAUGUCAUCUCCUUCUUCAUUUGCUUGCUCGAUCUACCACUAUUUCUACUUAUUCUUCUUGAAAUCUUUUAAAAUUGGAUUUUUAUAGUUUGUAGAGUUUAUUGUCACGUUGGGUUUCGUUUUUAUAAUUUCUAGAUUUCCCGUCAAACGUUGCCAUUAUACUCCUCUAUGGUCCAUCCACUGUCUUUCUCUUUAUUGUCAUUGAGAUUUUAAAAAUCGAACAUAAUUAUUGUCUGGGUUCAUUUUUACUCUCUAGAAGUCCUGCCAAACCGUUAGCGGCUUUGCCAUUGUACUCCUCUAUAGCUCGCCCGCUGCCUCCCUUCUUUAUUGUCAUUGAGAUUUUAAUAUCGAACAUGAUUAUCAUUGCUUUUUUUUUUACUUUUUAGAAGUUCCAAACCUUUAAAAAUUAGACUUGUAGUUUCAUUUUUUAUAAUUUUUAGAAGUCCCAUUAAACGAUGCCAUUAUGCCUCUCUAUAGCCCGUCCGCGGCCUACUCUUUAUUGUAUUCCUACUUGAACUCUUCUUUUAUUUUCUUUUUCUAAUUUCAGAUUUAUUUUUAUUUUUAUUCUGAAUUUUAAUUAAUCUUGUAUUGGGUUCUUACAUGGACUCUUCUUUUAAUAUUUGUUAUUUUUAAUUCCGAAUUUCAGCUAUUUUUAAUUUGUAUUCCUACUUGGACUCUCAUUUCAUUUUCUAAUUUUGGAUUUUAUUUUAUUUUUAUUUUGAAUUUUGAUUAAUCUCGUAUUGGGUUCUUAUAUGGAAACUUCUUUCAAUAUUGCUUAUUUUUAAUUUCGAAUUUCAGCUAUUUUAAAAUUGUAUUUCUAGUUGGACUCUUCUUUUCUUUUUCUCUGAUUAAUAGAUAGAUAGAUUACGGACGUUACUAAUACUUGUACGCAGGAUUUUUUGCCAGUCCGUUCAUCGCCACAUCGUGUGGAAGGCAUUUCUUCUUCCCCGUAGCUGAAAUUCAGAUUUAAAAAUACAUAGUCUAUAUAUAAAUACAAUUUAAAAAUAGCUGAAAUUAGGAUUUAAAUAUAUGGAAUAUAGGAGCAGGGAGCAUUUUUACCCGUGGUUCAAUCGAUAUGGUGCUUGGUGCAGGUGGAAAAAGUUUUUUUUUUUUCGUAUGCACAAGACUCACUCAGAUCAUGUGCUUGUGGGAGUUGGCUUCAAGAGGAGAGGAAUGACAUCUCAAAAGCGUGUUUCGUUAAAAUGCCAAUAUGAAGCGCGUGAUCACAGCCAUUUUGCCAUUUUCAAUUCCAUAUUUGCUGCAAUGUGGCUUGAUGAGACCAAAUUACCCCUGCUCACCCAGUUGCUGCUGCUUCGUCACCACAGCGACAGAGACAUCCCGACGGAGCUCCUGGCGGUUCUUUACCGCCAGCGUCCGCGCCGACCUCCGCCCGGUCUUCGCCUUCCUCACCGACGACCUCGCCGUCCCGGACACCACCUAACGCCGCGUCGUCGUCAAAUGCCCCCAGACCCUCGCCUGCAGCGUCCGCGACCAGCUCCGCUCGGCGCUCCUCUACCUCUGCCGCCUUGGCUUUCACGACGGCCGUGCUCUCUGUCUUCAGGACCCCAUCCUCGACUGUUCGACGGCGAGGAGGCACCCCCAGCCGACGCCGACGUGCGCUGUUCCUAAAAACGGACCGGUGCUCGCCUGCUCGGACUCACUUGGGGCGCGGGAUGGAGGCAGCGAGCCGGUGAGCAGCGGCACGCAUGUUUCGUGACUGUCACGCCCGGAAAUAUACACCAUUUCCAAACGCUCAGUGCAUUAAUCCUCGUCCCAGGAGGCGAGGUACACAUAGACAUUGUUGAUUAUUACAUGCCACACUUGCGGAAACGUAAAGGAGUACUUGAUUACAUGGGCGACUUAGGCCCUCACACUCAAAGAUAAACAAAUAAAACAGCGGAAGACUACGGAACAGCAGCAGCCACAGGCACUCGACGGCGGAGCGAACUAGAGAUCCAAGCCUUCACCUUCCUCAGGUCCAUCCUCUGGAUUAUUUUUGUGAGCAAGAGUGAGUACCACCACCGUACUCAGCAAGUCACACCGGAAAUGCAACAAUAAUGCGUAGGGAAAACAAGGAAAUGGCCUAAUAGGGUUUAUUUUGCAUAAAGCCAUAAUUUAAACAUUUUAAUCAAGUUAAAGCUCAUUUUAAAACACGAUCCUGUUCUAAGCCAAUAUUUUAAUAUCAUCAAGGUCGCAUGAGCCUGCGAACCUGCCUUAACCCAGGCUAAUCUCCACAUGACUACACCAUCAUGAUUUCACCCUCCAAUGUUUUAUAAAACAAAACUAACUUUGGGUACAUUGCUCAGCUUGCCCAUAACCGAGGGCGCGGCUAUUCGAAUAGUUUUUAACUCUGAUCAGAGGUGUACAACUUUACCCACAAGACACAACCUCAACACGCGUUGCCACGCGCCGGGUACCACCACGGUACUCGGAUAGAGGUCGUGACAAGACUAUCCAUCUAGGUCUACCCAAAACAGGAGAACCCGCUGAGGUUUCGCCGCCCGCCGGUCCCCGACAAGGUAAAGGUUGUCGGAUCCCCCGGGACGAGUCAGGCCCCCCCUUGCGCCGGGUGAAAAACGGCCUUAAUCCUGGCCCCACACCCUUCCAACCAAUGGUCUCUGUUUUGAGAAGAUCUAAAUUUCCAGUCAGGCCUUACCCACUAGACUUGUGGUUGCACGAAGAUGCCUUGCAACAGAGGCCCGAAGACCGGUCCUUAUAUUAGCCGGGGUGCGACUACCAAAGUAACUAGCUUGCACCCCAAGCCCAGCCCAAAAAAAAUAUAUUUUAGUUGCACAAAUCAUUUUAUCACCCAUCUAUUGACAAACCAGUCAAUAGUCCAUAACUAAUCCAAUUUUAGUUGUUAACCACCAAAGUCUAGUUUAACCAAAAGUUCUAGGUUGGAACUAAGCAUGACUAAGCAUUUACCUAAAGCAACUAGUCAGUCCAUCAUGUAGGGUACUAGACUAGUCAAGUUAUAAUUUUACUAGGGUUCACAAAGAUCAUGGAUAUCAAAUCAACAUCAUGGCCAUAACCAAGAGCAUAGGAAUAACUAAUAAAACAAUAUUAAUAAUGAACGGUAUAAUUUAUAAAGCAAUGCAAUAUAAGUAAAACAACAUAAUUUUCACAAUAUGGGAUUCAACAUGUUCAAGGUAGAUAUGACUUGCCUUGAUCGCUCACAAAGUCUUCGGCGUCAACGGCGAUGAAGAGCUGAUCUUCCGGAACGGCAGGAUCUACACGACCAACGCGAAGAAAUACAAAAGGACUAAUAAAAACCAUAUGAACAGAAGCAAUAAAGCACAUAAAUGGAUUCUACUCAUUUUUAGGAGAAAUUAGAGAUUUGAACGGGUCGAUUCCGAGUUCAAACGGUCAAGAUAUGGCCAUUUGAAGUUUAGGUGUUGUUUAAAUGGAAAUUUGCAAUUUUGUGAAUUAUUUUUCUAAAGGAAAUUGAUUUAUUGCACAGAGAAGAGAGAGAGGGGUCCACGGGCGGGUCCCACUUGGCAGCCGCUCGGUCCACUGUGAGCCGAGAGCACCGAGGUGGCUCACGGUGCACCGAGGCACAGACACGGCCGGGCAGGAGCAGCACCCGGCCAGGCGGCUCGCCGGCGACGGCCAACGGCGCGGCGGCAGUGCGACGGAGAGCGGAAAGGGGAAAAACGGAAAGGGGAGGAGACGACGGUUCUCACCGAGCAGACACGGCGGCGAGAGGUCGACGGUGUUGCCGGCGGUGAGGAAGAAACGACGAGAAGCUUCGGGUCGUCGGCGUCGGCGUCGUUCCCGCGGUCCUUGUACUCGACGGAGGGGUGGACGGGGAAGAGGAGGAAGCGACGAAGCGGAUGGUGGCGACGCCGGGCUCCGACGAGGUCCCGACCACCGGCGAGGGGCGGCCGGAGUUGCGACGGCGGCGGCACAAGAAGAGAGCGGCGCGGCGGCCGCGGAGAGAGGAGGGAGAGGGCAGCGGUGUGAGGGGAGAGAGGAGGGAGUCGGGGGUCCCUUUUAUAGGCCGGAGGGGAGGGAGAGAGGCGCCGGGGAGGGAGAUCGACGCGGGGCAUGGUGGAGCUCACCAUUGAUGAGCAUCAUCAAAAUCCACCACGAAUAAUGUGGGAUUGAGUGGGAAAUUAUGGGGGAAUUGGAGAGGAUGAGGUGGGAAUUAAUUCCCCUCAAUUAAUUUGAUGAAACGGCGAGUGGAGGAGGCGAAUCGGAGGUUGCCGUCGCUUGGAAUUCGGCCGGAGAGAGAGAGGAUGGCUGGAGGUUAGGGAUGACGAGUGGGACCCACCUGUCAUCGAGUAGGAGCACGCCUGUCAGGCUGGGCGCGCAGGGGAGGUGAAGCAGACUUUUGUCCGAGGGAGAUGGGGAGCAGUUGAGCCAGCCCAAGGAGAGGGAGGGGGAGGGGAGAGAGGGAGGGUGAGGGGGCGGCUGGGCUGGGCUGAGAGGAGGGGGAGAGAGAUGGGCUGCAAACAGCCCAACAGGAGGAAGAUGAUUUCUUUUAGCUUUUCCUUUUUGUAAAAUUCUUUAAUUGUUUUUGUUGCCUUAAAAUUAUUUAGGAUGCUCUGAAAAUUCAAGUAAAAAUUGGUUAAACAUUUUUAAGCAUGGGGAAUUUAUUAAAAAUACCCACAAGCCAAUUUGACAUAAAUCUUGGUGAAUUUUAAUUGUUGGAGGCUCUUUUAGGCUUUUAAAAUUUCUAGAAAUGCAUUAAAGCACGAUUUAAAUUUAGGGCGAUUUUCAGGGCGUUACAGUGACGCCUACCCGCUGGUCUGCUCGCCGACGACCACGUCCCACCGCCUCGCUGUCCCAUGCCUCGUCGGGUCGCCGGCUCCUCCACAAGGACCUACUGCACACUACCGCAUGCAUCCUGACAGGAUUCACCCCAAACACCUGCAAGACACCGACAUACUCCUCCGGCACCAUCAAGAUUUGCAAACUAGUACAAGCGUGUAUCCAUCUCAGGGACAGAGAAAGCAAGCACAACCGUUCAUAUCGAUCCCCAACAUGAAUGCUUCUUUGAAUGAGACAAAAGAAACACCAAUCAAACAAGAGAGCAAUAACCAUGCGAGGUGAUGUGGAUAUUGAAAAAAAAAUAAGGAAGAGCAAAGGGAGAUGGGGACUGAUUUGCGAGGAGGAAACGACGGUGCCACCACGGCGGAGCACAAGUGCCGGCAGGAUCGUUGGGAACCAUGCGGUGGCCGUGAGCGGCCGCAGCCGCCAGGGAUCGCCGCGAAGGUCCAGCGCCUCGCGCAGGCGGUGGCGAGGUCGUGACCUCACCGGGCACCAGCCGAACAUGUGGGGCCCUACCGUUUCUUCCUCCUCGUCGAAGCUGGAGGGAGGUGGAGGCGUAGAAGCUGCAGAACGGCAUCGCUGCGCGGCGACCUCUUCUCUUCCCUCCGAUUCGAGCAGAGGAGAAGAGAGUGGGGAGAGGGGCAAAAUCGUCUCAUCAAGCUCUGCCCCAACGAAAAUGAAAUCGAAAAUAAAGAAAAUGGAAAAGUGGCUAUGGUUGUGCGGUCCAUAUUGGCAUUUUAACAAUCGCGGUUUCAGAAUAGCAUUCCAGUGUUUUGAGAAUGGCUAAAUAUCCAUUUUCUCCCUGGAGACAGAUCAAGGAACAAGAAGAGAGACGUGGCUUAAUCCUAUGCGUAGAAAAAGACACAACGGUUCAGAUUAGGUGAAAAUCCAACUCCCGUCUUUCCCGAGGCGGGUGAGGGGGGAAAGAGAGAAAAAAAAAAAAAAGGAAACCUCAAAUUCCCCAUUCUUCCUCGUCUUGGGGCACAACUCCGAUUUAGGGUUAGCUCCUCCUCCUCCUCAUCGCUGAUUAGGAUUCGAUUCGACCGGAUCCCUCGCCGCCUUCGCCAUGGAUGAUGGUGAUGAGCCCGUCCCCUACGUCAUGGAUGAGGGUGUGCUACUACCCUUGCUGUUUCCGCCGCCGCUGCCGGCCGACGACGACGCCACCGCCGGCGUGAGCCCAAGCUGGGUGUACCUCGAAGACAGAGCUUACGUCUCCCCCGAUGCCGUCUCCAACUCCACCACCGCCUUCUCCACCACCACCACCGGCGUAAGCAUCCAUGUCUCCUUCUGCCUCGCCCGCCCGCCGCGCCUCUCCUACCUCUGCGUCCACUGCCCCCGCCCCGGCGACGGCGAGGGCGCCUACCGGUUCACUGUCGAUCCCCGAGUCCUCGGCACGCACACCGAUGUAGCCCUCCUCCGCGUCCCGCACCCCAACGACGGGCUCCACCGCGGAAUCAAAUCCUACGACUACUUCGUCUACACGGCCCGCCCAGGCCCGGGCGCCUCCUUGCUCCGGCUGCUGCCGAACCCGCGGGUCUCCCCCUUCCGCAACGAGGAGGUCGCCAUCGUCCGCUGCUCCGGCGGCGCCCGCUACGUCAUCGCCUGCCUCAUGCCAACCAUCAGGCGCCCCAUGGAGUUCAAGGUUAUGCGCUUCGACUCCGACGUCGGCCGCUGGAAAUCCACAGCUGUGUCCAUCAGUGAGCCGGUCGAGAGGGACAGGGUGCUCCCCAUCCCUGACACGGCCAGCCAGAUGGUCUUCCACUGCACCACCAAGGUCAUCACGCUCGGCGGCACCAUCGGCUGGGUGGAUCUCUGGAGAGGGAUCCUGCUGUGUGACGACGUGCUUGACCAACACCUGGUGCUCCGCGACGUGCCACUGCCCAAGCCAGCGAGAAGCAACCGCAAAUCCUUCUGCAGAGGGCCGCCGCAUCAUUACCGGGACAUCACCGUUGUCGUGCAGGACUCUGUUCCCACCUGCAUCAAGUACGUUGAGAUGGUGACCCGCCCCGGUGAUCGGCCACCUCCUCGACAACGACAGCCGCCGCAACAUUCUGAUGACUCUGACUCUGAUGAGGAAGAGGACGUUGCUUACUACUGGAAGGCUAACAUAUGGAGCAUGCCGAUACCAGUUGGUUCAUGGGAGGAUUGGCAGAUGGAGUGCACGGUGGAUGUCACUGACAUCGCCGUCGACAAUGUCAGGUUCAGUGAGCUGCUGCCAAAGAUUGGCAAUGAUCCAGAGGAGACAUUGAGGAGGCUGGUCACAGGUUUCCCCACAUUGGGUAUGGAUGGGGAUGUCAUUUCUUUCCUGUCCAAGAUCAAUCGCUUGGAUGAUAAGGGAUGGGUUAUCUCUGUUGAUCUGAGGAGUAAGACGCUGCAAGGCGUGGCUGAGCUUGAUGAGAGGAAGAAUUUCCUCUUCAAGCGCUACUACAACACCAGUGAGAUCUCCAAAUAUCUUAUCAAGGCUACAGGUUUGUUUUAUAACUGUUGCACCAUAAUAGUCAAAUAAUCUAAUGGAUAGUUCAUAACCUUCUUCAUUUUGACUACUGUUUACAAGUUGUCAGGUUAGAAACUUGAUUCAUGAGUGUGUUUUUCAGAGUGCACUCCUAGGAUUUGUUUUUGAAGUGCCACUUAAACCCUCUCUGUGUAUGUUGUGUGUUUGAUGCAGGUGAGGCAGGAACUCUUGUAAAAACUGGGGUUAAUAGUAGAGUCUCAAAAAAGAAGAAGUAGGAAUUAAUUAAUGAAUCACGUAGGCUACCUGGGUUGAAGAAAUGAAACGAGCUGCAGAGACUGGGCGAUUCAUGAGCUACUUUCUGUAAUGAGCUAUUAUCAGAGUUGUUCUGUGCAAGACAUGCUACUUUCUGUAAUGGAUUUGGUUUUCGUCUGUUUAUCCCAAGUUAAACUGCUAUCUUCCCCUGAUGAUUGGCCUGAAAUGGAUGCUCAGGAAUUUUCUUCGGUUAUUAUACUGUAAUAAAAUGUCAAGCUGGCGACCCCAUCGUUAGAGUUCGUGUUUUACCUUUCGUUUUGUAAUGAACUCUCUUGCUUUUGGGUUUUCUUCAAAAGCAAGAUUUCAUUCGAAAUCAGAAUUUUUUUUCUUCAAAAAAUUUCGUUCGAAAUAUCAGAAUUUGUCCGAAAUUUCGGAAUUUCGGUGCCCACCGAAAUUUUCUUGUUUCCCGAAGGGAAAACCCUGGCUGGAGGACUAUCCGUCGGCUGGCGAGGAACGGCGGCGGAGCUCCGGCUGCUGUAGGGAGGGAGGCACCCGCGUGCCGGCGUUGGAUUUGAUUGGGCCUCACCGAAAUUUCGGUCCGAAAUUUUGAACAAAAUUUAGUUGAAUUUGAACAAAUACUACCAAAAUUCAUGAAAAAAUUCGGUCGAAGUAAUAUCGUAAGAAAUUCGGUCCGAAAUUUCACCCUGAUCGCAAUUAGCGAGCGAGAUAGGCGGGAGCUCGGAAUGCGUGUGGGGUGGGCGCAAUCCAAUCCAAAGAGGCGUUCGUCGAUCUCCGAUCGGAUCGUCUCCGUGAUUCGCCAUGGAUGAUGAUGAGCCCAUCCCCUUGGAUGACGAUCUCCUCCUGCCAUUGCUGUUUUCGCCUCCGCUCCCGGCCGACGACGAUGAUGGCGGCGGCGUGAGCCCAACCCCAAGCUGGGUGUACCUCGACGCGAGUGCCUACGUCUCCCCCGACGCCGUCUCCAACGCCACCACCGCCGUCUCCACCACCACCAC